UUCAGUUCGGCUGGAUACCACACAGGUGCUGCAUGGCUGUCGUCAGCUCGUGUCGUGAGAUGUUCGGUUAAGUCCGGCAACGAGCGCAGCCCACGUCUUUAGUUGUCCAGCAUUCAGUUGGGCACUCUAAAGAAACUGCCGAUGAUAAGUCGGAGGAAGGUGUGGAUGACGUCAAGUCCUCAUGGCCCUUACGGGUUGGGCUACACACGUGCUACAAUGGCAGUGACAAUGGGUUAAUCCCUAAAAGCUGUCUCAGUUCGGAUUGGGGUCUGCAACUCGACCCCAUGAAGUCGGAAUCGCUAGUAAUCGCGUAACAGCAUGACGCGGUGAAUACGUUCCCGGGCCUU
rnacentral:rRNA from 1 species